rnacentral:lncRNA from 10 species
AUCACAGGAAUUUGGAAAUAUCAUGCAACCAUGGAUGGUGUGCAAAAUCCAAGCAGGGAAAAAAGGAAUUAGAGGCUAAUUUUCUAGGGAGUUGUUACAGCAGCAACUAUGUGGACUCGAAUCCUGUGGGGUUGUAAUCAAGGAAGACAGACCAAAUCAAGGAUAGAACAUUCAUUUCCUUCCUGCCUCUUCCCUCCCUUCAUUUCUCUUUGUCUCUCUCCCUCUCUCCACCCCAUCCCCUCAUUUCCC